AGUUGACAAGAGUUCAAACACUGUCCUGGGCAAUUCACAAGCUGGGUGACCCUAGACAGGUCACUUGUUGACCAGUUUCCUUAACUAUAAAAGAGAAAAAUUAAUAGCCUCUAGCCCCCAGGGUUGUAUGCAAUCCAAAUGAGGUAAUAAUAAUAAAACACCUAACACAGUGAUAGCAUACAGGAGGUACUUAAUAAAAGCUUAUUUUCUUCCUGCCAUAUAUGUAUACUUCAGGUCUCCCCCAUUAGACUAUGAAGUCUUUGUGGGCAGGGAUUAUUUCCUUCUUUGUAGGCACAUAGUAGGUGCGUAAUAAACACUUGGUGAUUAGUCCACAGAGGCAGCAUAAGAAACCACUGGGAUGAGAGGUGGCUGGGAAAGGUGGUGUGCAACUCGACUCUUUUUAGUGACUAACUAGCUAAGGGAGAUCUGGGGGAGGCGGAAAUGACACAAAGUUUUAACCGUCAGACAAUGUGAAAUGAGGAAGAUCCAGAGAGAAGUUAAGAGUUAAGAGACCAAUGUCAAGAUACGGGAAGUGGAGCAGGGCAGCAUGAUAAAGAGACGGCCACAAAGCCAAGAAGACCCCCCUGUCAAUUCCAGCCUUGGACUUCGUCAGCUCCCUUGUUGUUGCUCUGCUUUUGAUUUUUCAAAAUACAAGCAGAAGGAUGAUUUCAGAGAGGCCUGGAGAGACUUGCCUGAACUCAUGCUAAGUGAGAUGAGCAGAACCAGGAGUACCACUGUACACAGCAACAGCAAGAUUAUACAAGGAUCAAUGCUGAUGGACGUGGCUCUUUUCAACAAUGAGAUGAUUCAGACCAGUUCCAGUGAUCUUGUGAUGGAGAGAGCCAUCUGUACCCAGAGACAGCACUGUAGAAACUGAGUGUGGUCCACAACAUAGCAUUUUCACUCUUUUCUGUUGUUAUUCAUUUGCAUUUUGUUUUCUUUCUUAUUUUUUCCCUUUUUUGAUUUGAUUUUUCUUGUGCAGCAAGAUAAUUGUAUAAAUAAGUCACAUAUAUUGGAUUUAAUAUAUAUUUUAACAUGUAUUACAUAUGUUGGAUUGUCAUCUGGGGGGAGAGGGUGAGGGGAAGGAGGGAAAAUUUGGAACACAAGGUUUUGCCAGGGUCGAUAUUGAAAAAUUGUCCCCGUAUAUGUUUUGAAAAUAAAAAGCUUUAAUUUAAAAAAUUACAGGCAGAAAUCAUUUUCAGCAUUCAUCCUUGCAAUGGCUUGUGGAGAGCAAUAGACCAGCUGUGAACGCACACCAGCCACUGAAGAGAGCACUCUACCUGUGCACACCACUCGGCUCCCAGCCCCCAACUGCUCUGCUCCAGGGACAUUAUUUUUGUUGCUGCUGUUGUUGUUUUAUUUCGUUUUGUUUAUUGUUUUUAUUUUUUCCCCAUGGACAUUACUGCAGUCAUCCUGCUUGCUGUUCUCUAGGACUGGUCACUGAGGAGGCUGGUGACCGAAAAAGCCCCUUCGCACCCAGAGCCGCUGCUGAGGAACCUCAGCCACCUAAGCAAGGCUGGCUCUGUCCUGAAGCCAUGGGGAGCCCAGUGUGGCCUAGAGCCUCGGUCCCUGCCAGGACUGUGAUCCUAGAAUAAUCUGGCUUAGAUCAUUAUUUCAAUGACCCCUCCCAUCCCCAUGGGGACGGAAAUGCCUACAAAGCUCCAGCAGUGGUGAGCACAAGCUUAAACCACCUGACCAAGAGCAGGGAAAGGGGCCAGGACUGAUUCCCAGGCUGGGCUUCUUGUGGGAAGGAGGAAAAGAAACUCUGCUUCUCCUUUGGGCUUCCCCAAAUCCUGAGGAGUGCUUGCAGGUUCCCCUCCCAUGCUGGCCCAUGGUUUGGUGCCUUUGAAUACUAUUUAAUAAAUGGUUAAUGAAAACAUAACCUGACGAAUAUUUACCUCUCCCAGGCCUCUUGGGUGGUGGUGAGAGCUUUCCCCAGAGAAAGAAUCUGGUCUCUGGCAUCCAAUUAGUGCUACCUGCCAAACUAAAGCCAUUCCUUGAGGUGUUUGUCAGUAUAAUUCCUCCACCUCAUUCCAUUUCUGUCCCUCUUUUUUCGUCCUGAUUUUGCCACUGCCUCCAUCAGAGGGGCCUUUCUCCUUGACCCUCUCCCCAAGCUCAUGUGGUCCAGACCAGGGGUUCUUAAAUUGAGGGAUCAGGACAACU
rnacentral:lncRNA from 1 species